rnacentral:tRNA from 1 species
GCCCCCGUAGCUCAGCGGAUAGAGCAGGUGCCUUCUAAGCACUUGGCCGCAGGUUCGAGUCCUGCCGGGGGCACCC